AGGGAUUCAUAUCAUAAAACAUUUAUACACAAAGCUUGUCUACCGCAAGACUGAAUCACACGCCCAGGAUCUCAUUCAAAUACAAAUGUUCCUCCUCAGAAGAGUCUCUGGUUGGUUGAUUUGGUUUUCUUUUUUUUUACAAAAGUUUAAAAUAUUUUUAAAAUAUUUUGAAGUUUUAAUAAAAAGUCCUGGUGUGCCAGACAUAUUUCUGGAAGGAGGCAAGACCCACGUUCUCAGCUUUGUUUUGUGCUAAACACAGAGUCACAGUAGCUGGGGACUGGAAAAUGAACUGGGUAAAAAAAAUGGAGCCAACGUCUCGAUUUGAAGCCAGAUAUACACCAAGACGCUCCAUCCCUCAAGGACCAGGCAGACACGUCAGCAGCGACAUCUCCCAGAGGACAAGGAGAGGCAGCUUCCCAUAAAACAAGGGGCGUCUGAGGGCCGGUGCUGGAGAGGGGGCGAAGGCUGCUCCCGGGCCCGGGGCCCGCACCCACGCCAAGUUCUGGGAUCGGGGUUUUGUGUGCUCUGCGGUCUUGUGCUUGUUGAAUUUCUGCACAGCGGUAUUUAAAACAUCCGUGCGGAUGGCCUGGGGCCGCCUGGCCUGGGUCUGAGGGCUGGACGAACCUCUAGCUGCCUGGAGCGGUUUCUCUUGGGUCCUUUCCUGGCUUGCGUCUGAGGCUUGGGGGUAAGGGAGGCGCCUCUGCCCUCAGCACUUCCCGUGAUGCUGCCUGGGCCCUGACCACUGUGCGUGGCACCUGGGUGACACAGGACGCCCUGUGCUAGGCCGGGGUGGGGGGACGGGUCUGCUCUCGUCUUGUGCUUCACCACCAUCUCUGGGGGUGUGCUGGGGAUCUGGGGCGAGAACAGGGGACCAGAGGUACAGAGAGGGAGCUGCAAAGAGCCCAGAACUCAUCCAAGGCCACCUCCUGCUCCUGGGAAUUUCCCACAUGGCCUCUGGCUAAUCCUGCCUAAGGCGUUCUGCCUCUUGCACACCAGCCAGCUUCUCUGGGCCUCAGUUUCCUCCUGUGCGGUAGGGCUCUCAAUGCCCAGAUCACAGAGGGCUGCUGGGUGCAGGGCCACGGUGAAUGGGCGCUGCCCCUCCGACCGAAGGCCAGCUACCCGCC
rnacentral:lncRNA from 1 species